GGGCGCAUGGCCUAAUGGUAAGGCGUCAGAUUUCGGUUCCAUUCAUGGUUUAUACUGUUCUCUGAAGAUUGCAGGUUCGAUCCCUGCUGUGCUCG